rnacentral:tRNA from 1 species
CCGUUGGUCAAGCGGUUAAGACACCGCCCUUUCACGGCGGUAACACGGGUUCGAAUCCCGUACGGGUCAUCCA